rnacentral:piRNA from 1 species
UGUAUUUUGAUAUCUGGAAGA